GAUUUUUUUAAUUGUUAUUUCUGCCGCUGCGCUGCUAGUCAUACAGCAGCAGCAUGCCUGCAGUCUGAGGAUAUCCGCCUCCUUGAGCUCUGCUCUGCGAGGUUCCCGGCCGUCAGCAUGAGUGAGGAGGAUCUCUCCCCACGCGAUGGAUGCAGACGGCGGACCUACUGAGCCCGGAGGUGGACAGGUUGGAUCAACUCUCCAUGGGCACUACACCAGGUGGUCCGGGGUUCUCCGUGAAUCCACGGCCGGCGUGGCUCCGUGACGUCAUCACUGAUGGACUGAGACCUGGCGGACGGCGGGCGCCACGGACUCCCUCGGGCGGGUAUAAAGGCAGUUGCUGAGACUUUGGUCAAUGUUCCCGGAACACAGGACAGACAAUGAUGGCACCUCAUUACUGGACCCUGCAAAGAAAUUCAAAGCACUACAUGGGGAUGACCUCCACUAGGCUCAGUGAAUGGGUCGGUGAUGGUCACAUGCUAACAGAGCUCCCAUCCUCUCCUCCAUAAUCCACACUCACUCUGGAGCCUCAAAGAGCUGGCACACCAUGGAGUCGGCCAAAUACUGCAACCUCAACUGCAGCAUCAUCUGUAUCUCUGAAGUUGUAGACUGAAAAAACAGCAGCAUCAUUGGGCUCCUACACAAGGCCCAGCUCUGCCCAUCAGUGCUGGCCAUGCUGCUGUUCCCCAAGGUGUGCACACCUUGCUGCACUGCCCAAAAAGUUCCCCUCACACUGCCACUGCUGGAAGAAGGCACCGGUGCCAUCUUAUCGCAACCUCCAUCUUGCCACCUACAUGUUAUCCUGGACUCUGCCUGUGCCUCUUUUGAGUGAAUGGCUCCAACUGCUCUCAGCCUGCUGCUGUGGAUUCCGGCUUCCUCCGAUCAUCACUGACUGUGUACCACAACAGCUGCCCCAGCACUUCUAGCUGUUGCGAAUGUGCAUACCAGGCCAUCUUAAUCCUGUGCUGAUCCCCCUCACUGGCUGCCUUCACCUGGCCCCUUGCUGUUGCAGCAUAAUGUGUCUGGAAUUUGGCUGUUGCACUGCUCCUCAUCCGGAUCUUUCUCUUCUACAUGUAGCUUCCUGUUGUCUCAGACAUUGGCUCAUUGCUGGACUAACCCUUAUACUGCUCAUUUUGUUUGUUUUGGUACACGUGAUUUAGCUAUAAUUUCUUUCUGUUUAAGUCUGUUGUAUCUCUGCCUGCUUUAUGAUGAUACUGCCUCCUAAUGUCUGUCCUUACUUCCACUUCAUGGUUUCCACUUCAGCUGUUCUCUUGGCUCUAAUUUUCCACUGUAUGUUACACUUCUGUGAAUUGCUCAUCCUGCUAACUGUAACCUAUGUAGUGUGCCACGGAUGGAUGAAUCAUCUAUGUAGUGGGAAGCCUAUCAGAUCGCUGCUUAUUUUAUCCUAGGUGUCUCUCAUUUCCAUUUAUUGUUUAUUCGCACAUUGUAAUCCAAAAUAUUGCACCUAACAUGACUGCCUCACCUGGUGCUCUUUGCAGAAUGACAAUGCAGGGUUCAGUAGGCCUUGCAAGGCUCUUGCCUAGAACUCUUAUUUGUCCCAUUGUGUGUUGCAGGCAUGCCUCAUUUUGGCCAGUGAAAUUGUAUGUAGUGUGCCUAAACUGGUUGCCUCACACUGAAACUUCGGCAGUGGCAUGAAUAAUCCUAGUAGUUGAUGACCAAAAAUGGCUGCCACACCAUAUGGAUUACCGCCAUAGCUUCUGUAUUUUCCUGCAUAUCUAACCUCUUAUUAUUGUAUGUUCAUAGCUUAUGUUUUGAAAUUUGCUAUAUUAUGUUCAAACUACCUCCUGAGUCCCACUGGAGGAAGAGUGCUAUAUAAAUUAUUAAUUAUUAUUAUUAUUAUUAUUGUUGUUAUUAUUAUUAUUAUUAUUAUGUAUCUAGGUGAAUUUAAAAGCCAGGAACAAAUGGAACGUUCACUAUCUAUGGCCCUUUAACUAAGGCAGUUAACCAUUUAUCUGGCCAAUUUAUUUUUCCAAAAACCGCAAUUUAGUUGUUGGGUUUUUAUGACUGAAUUAGGUUAAGAACAUCUAUUUAAAAAAACUUAUCCAACACAUUUUUUUAUUUUUUAUUUUUUCAAAAAUAUUUUUUAAACACUUUUUGGAAUAUCAAGAUUUUUUUAGAUAUUGACUACCAAUAUAUUACACCACCAAUGAACAGGACAUCAUAUCUUUGCAUUUAUGCAGCGAUCGGCUGUAUGGCAGGCAGUGGGGGAGGGAACAAGGAUGCAGAGAGAUCAGGAGGUCCCUCUAAAUUUGCCAGCUGCUGGAAGAUUAUUUUCCUGCAGUAACCCAGUGGGCAUUUCUAACUAGUUGCAUCAGACACAACCAAAUCAGGGAAAGCCCAGCCUGGAGGGGUCAUAUCUGAUAACCUGUAUUUAUCAAAAAAAUAUUGCGCAGGCAACAGACCACAUUCCUUAGUUGUGUUUAUAAAUGAGCUUCAGUUGCACUAGAUGAAUAAAAAUAAAUAAAAAUAAGAUGUUUAAAAAUAGUUACAAUUAAUUUUAUGUUUUAAGCAUUACUGUGUUUUUAAUGUUAUCAUCGUCUCAUGAUGUUGUUAUUGCAGGUGCUAACCCCUUUGUUGUAAAACAGCAAGAGGGCAUGUUGCCCAUUGAAAGAAAUGCUUCAAAAUUGUGACAGUGUUUAUAGUGUUGUUUAUAAAUUUGAUUUUGGUAUAUGUUCUCAUAAUAAUCUAUGUGAAAGA